AAUAGAAGAGCAGAGGAACGAAUUCAGAUUAAUCCAAGCGGGGCGUGAAAGUUCACCGUGCGGCUUCACCAGAAUGAAACGAGGAAAGGCACAGUGCGAAGCCCAGAGCCAGAGCUACUUGACUGGUCAUGCAGCUCCAGUGGUGAGGCUCUCCCAGAAAGACAACGGAGCAGAGGAAGGUCACCAUCAGCGAGAAAAGCAGACAGAAGCUCAGCACAGCGUCAUUGGCUUUGACCAGAGGAGUGUUGAUCAAUGGUGACGAGGGCUCCAAAGGCAGAGAUGACGAUGAGUGUGAUGCCCAGUGGCUCUCCAAAGGCCAGGAACUCGAUGAUCUUAGGCACGCAGGCAUCACGAGC